GUGGAUUUUAGUGGUUUUCUGGUGGGUUGCGACGGCAAAAUUGGUGGGUUCGUUAAAAUUAAGUUGGCAACACUGUAUACAUAUAGUUCAUGGUUGUCACUGUUUAUAUUUUAUAGAUUCAUAAGAUGAAAGAUCUUCAAAAUAAAAAACAUUGUUUCAAAGGGCUGUAUGGACUAAAGUCCUUUGUCUUUCCCAUUAGGGAUAAAUUAAUAUUUAAUAUCAUCAUCAACAUUGUUUCAAAGUUUAUAGUUGAAUGUUUUAAAAAAUAAUCAUGCUAAUAAUUUUGUUAGAAUGUAAUCACAAAUGAAAAUAAAAUUGGGACAAGCAAUGGUUUAAGAAGCGUGACCCAAUUGGAGUAAAUGGAAUGGUAGAAAUUAACAUAAAAGGCCUAACUCUUAUUGUAAAGACAUGAAAGUCUUUAUCACUUUUUUAAUUGCAAAUAUAGUACAUCUUAGUCCACCAAGUACAAGAAAAUUGUGAGGGAGUACAAGUACACUUUGCAAGAAGAGGGUCAACCCGAACCUUUGGUUUCCACCCCAAGCAAUGUUACUGUGAAAUGUCAGUAAACUUUUACCAUAAAUUUAGUAAAGAUCAAAGUUUUAUUUAAUAUUUUACAAUAAAUAUUCUUCUUUGCAAGUUUGAUUGUAGGAAAAGUAAACUAUGUAAAAUCAAAAUUUUCUUGCAAAGUUUUCAUUCUUGUAUAAAGUAAAAUUAUGAUAACUAAUUAUUAUGUAAUUUUGUUACAUUGAAUUAAAUCUUGAAUCAAAA